UACGUAGGGUGCAAGCGUUUGUCCGGAAUUAUUGGGCGUAAAGAGCUCGUAGGCGGUUUGUCGCGUCUGCUGUGAAAACCUCAGGCUCAACCUGGGGCUUGCAGUGGGUACGGGCAGACUAGAGUGCGGUAGGGGUGACUGGAAUUCCUGGUGUAGCGGUGGAAUGCGCAGAUAUCAGGAGGAACACCGAUGGCGAAGGCAGGUCACUGGGCCGCAACUGACGCUGAG
rnacentral:rRNA from 1 species